rnacentral:rRNA from 1 species
AACGAACGCUGGCGGCAUGCCUAACACAUGCAAGUCGAACGAGACCUUCGGGUCUAGUGGCGCACGGGUGCGUAACGCGUGGGAACCUGCCCUUAUGUUCGGAAUAACUCCCCGAAAGGGGUGCUAAUACCGGAUAAUGUCUUCGGACCAAAGAUUUAUCGCCUUUGGAUGGGCCCGCGUUGGAUUAGCUAGUUGGUAGGGUAAAAGCCUACCAAGGCGACGAUCCAUAGCUGGUCUGAGAGGAUGAUCAGCCACACUGGGACUGAGACACGGCCCAGAAUCCUACGGGAGGCAGCAGUGGGGAAUAUUGGAAAAUGGGCGAAAGCCUGAUCCAGCAAUGCCGCGUGAGUGAUGAAGGCCUUAGGGUUGUAAAGCUCUUUUACCCGGGAUGAUAAUGACAGUACCGGGAGAAUAAGCUCCGGCUAACUCCGUG